AGUGAACGCUGGCGGUAGGCCUAACACAUGCAAGUCGAACGGCAGCACAGUAAGAGCUUGCUCUUACGGGUGGCGAGUGGCGGACGGGUGAGGAAUACAUCGGAAUCUACUUUUUCGUGGGGGAUAACGUAGGGAAACUUACGCUAAUACCGCAUACGACCUACGGGUGAAAGCAGGGGAUCUUCGGACCUUGCGCGAUUGAAUGAGCCGAUGUCGGAUUAGCUAGUUGGCGGGGUAAAGGCCCACCAAGGCGACGAUCCGUAGCUGGUCUGAGAGGAUGAUCAGCCACACUGGAACUGAGACACGGUCCAGACUCCUACGGGAGGCAGCAGUGGGGAAUAUUGGACAAUGGGCGCAAGCCUGAUCCAGCCAUACCGCGUGGGUGAAGAAGGCCUUCGGGUUGUAAAGCCCUUUUGUUGGAAAAGAAAAGCAGCAGGUUAAUACCCCGCUGCUCUGACGGUACCCAAAGAAUAAGCACCGGCUAACUUCGUG
rnacentral:rRNA from 1 species